GAGAGACUAUUUUUUGCUAUGGUUGACUAAAUAUGGUCAGGGAAGAGAGAGGCACAAGAGAGCCUGUUUGCCUGGGAGUGCAUGUUUCAAAUGCUUAGCUGCCUAUAAAGCUGUAACAGUUUAGCCUGUGGUCACUGAGGAAGAAUAUAAGUUAGCCUUGUAGUGACCAUGUGGAAGUCCUGACCUCGAUUGCAGACUUGACCUCUGGAUGUGACAAGGUGAGGUUCUGUGUUCACUGACAAAUCCCCUUCCUUCACCGGGCUCAUGAAAAGAAAUUGCUGAAUCAGCGAAUAGAGUGAACGAACAAUCAAGAUGAGAUGGCUGCUGCUGAUGUGACUCUCUAGGUCAUUACCUUUCUUCCUGCUGCAAAUGCUGCAUGACACUAAGCUUUCAGGAUCUAGAAGCAGACUACAAAAAAAGAAGAAAUUCACUCUGAAGACUGAAGAAACAAUAGGCUGAUUUUAAGUUUCUGAAAUACACUCUGUAACACUACACUAAUUCUAUGAAUCUGUUGCAAAAAGAAUCAAACCAGGACAAAGUUCAACAGAUAACUGGUCAAAUGUUUAGGAAUGUCUAUGUCCACCAAGAAUAUGGAACCAUUAAUGCCAUGCUUCAGGUAAAUUUGUUACAAAGUUUACUCUUCAAUAAAUUAGUCUCUGCAAAUGA